AAAUUGAAGAGUUUGAUCAUGGCUCAGAUUGAACGCUGGCGGCAGGCCUAACACAUGCAAGUCGAACGGUAGCACAGAGAGCUUGCUCUCGGGUGACGAGUGGCGGACGGGUGAGUAAUGUCUGGGAAACUGCCCGAUGGAGGGGGAUAACUACUGGAAACGGUAGCUAAUACCGCAUAA
rnacentral:rRNA from 1 species